rnacentral:misc_RNA from 1 species
GGGGAUGUCAAGUUAUUAGUUGAAGACAUUGGGGAGUUGAAACCUACUAUCUUCUGUGCUGUUCCACGUGUGCUUGAUAGGAUCUAUACAGGCCUGCAGGGCAAGCUUUCCUCUGGAGGUCUUCUGAAAAGUACAUUGUUUAAUGUUGCUUACAAAUACAAACUACGGAACAUGACUCGGGGAAGUAAGCACGAUGAAGCGGCUUCAAUUUGUGACAAAAUAGUUUUUAGUAAGGUAAAACAAGGACUUGGUGGGAAAGUACGACUCAUCUUAUCCGGAGCAGCUCCCCUAGCUACCCAUGUUGAAGAAUUUUUACGAGUGGUGACUUGUGCUUAUGUUCUGCAAGGAUAUGGUCUUACCGAGACGUGUGCGGGGACAUUUGUGUCACUACCAAAUAACCUCUCGAUGCUUGGAACUGUGGGACCUCCGGUACCAAAUGUUGAUGCACGCCUAGAGUCUGUUCCUGAAAUGGGAUAUGAUGCCCUUUCACCUAUUCCUCGUGGAGAAAUCUGUGUAAG